GUGCGUCCCUCCCGAAGCUGCGCGCUCGGUCGAAGAGGACGACCUCCCCGAUAGAGACAGUACCGUUCAUCGGUCAAAGGUAUGCAGUAGCUGCGCUCCCCUGCUAGAACAUCCGAACAAGCUCAAGGUCCAUUUGUAGGAGAACGUAGGGUAGUCAAGCUUCCAAGACUGCAGACACAUCCAAGUGAGGCACUGCAUGGGGUAAUCUGCCAUUGUUU
rnacentral:sRNA from 1 species